rnacentral:lncRNA from 1 species
UACUUAUUAUAUUUUGGCGUAUAUCACUUUAUAACUAUUGCAUAUGUGCAUAUAUAUAUUGUGAUGUCCUUUGAUUUGUGCAAUGGGAAUCGGAUCGUGAUGAGAUCACGAUAAUGAGAUCGAUUCACCUUUAAACACAUAUCCUAAAUAAUCCCGGUCAUAGGUUACUCGAGAGGGACAUCGUGAUAACCGGAUAGACUGGUGUGCUGUAUACCCGUCCAUAUGAUGGAUGCAGCUGGUCUCAUAGCUGCUCGUGUAGGGACACUAGGGAUACAGUACAGGUGCUCAUUGGAGAAUGAGUUCACUAAUUGAUCCGCUUACAGAAUGCUGGAUGGUUGAUGAUGCCUUAUUGUCAGACAACGAUUCCGUAGUCCUCGUGGUGUAUCUGAUCCUUAGACUUGAGACACCAAGGAUGUCCUAUAUGAGUGCUCCACUCUUU